rnacentral:rRNA from 1 species
GUGAAGAGGGAAACAACCCAGACCGCCAGCUAAGGUCCCAAAGUCAUGGUUAAGUGGGAAACGAUGUGGGAAGGCCCAGACAGCCAGGAUGUUGGCUUAGAAGCAGCCAUCAUUUAAAGAAAGCGUAAUAGCUCACUGGUCGAGUCGGCCUGCGCGGAAGAUGUAACGGGGCUAAACCAUGCACCGAAGCUGCGGCAGCGACACUGUGUGUUGUUGGGUAGGGGAGCGUUCUGUAAGCCUGUGAAGGUGGCCUGUGAGGGUUGCUGGAGGUAUCAGAAGUGCGAAUGCUGACAUAAGUAACGAUAAAGCGGGUGAAAAGCCCGCUCGCCGGAAGACCAAGGGUUCCUGUCCAACGUUAAUCGGGGCAGGGUGAGUCGACCCCUAAGGCGAGGCCGAAAGGCGUAGUCGAUGGGAAACAGGUUAAUAUUCCUGUACUUGGUGUUACUGCGAAGGGGGGACGGAGAAGGCUAUGUUGGCCGGGCGACGGUUGUCCCGGUUUAAGCGUGUAGGCUGGUUUUCCAGGCAAAUCCGGAAAAUCAAGGCUGAGGCGUGACGACGAGGCACUACGGUGCUGAAGCAACAAAUGCCCUGCUUCCAGGAAAAGCCUCUAAGCAUCAGGUAACAUCAAAUCGUACCCCAAACCGACACAGGUGGUCAGGUAGAGAAUACCAAGGCGCUUGAGAGAACUCGGGUGAAGGAACUAGGCAAAAUGGUGCCGUAACUUCGGGAGAAGGCACGCUGACACGUAGGUGAAGUGAUUUACUCAUGGAGCUGAAGUCAGUCGAAGAUACCAGCUGGCUGCAACUGUUUAUUAAAAACACAGCACUGUGCAAACACGAAAGUGGACGUAUACGGUGUGACGCCUGCCCGGUGCCGGAAGGUUAAUUGAUGGGGUCAGCGCAAGCGAAGCUCCUGAUCGAAGCCCCGGUAAACGGCGGCCGUAACUAUAACGGUCCUAAGGUAGCGAAAUUCCUUGUCGGGUAAGUUCCGACCUGCACGAAUGGCGUAAUGAUGGCCAGGCUGUCUCCACCCGAGACUCAGUGAAAUUGAACUCGCUGUGAAGAUGCAGUGUACCCGCGGCAAGACGGAAAGACCCCGUGAACCUUUACUAUAGCUUGACACUGAACAUUGAGCCUUGAUGUGUAGGAUAGGUGGGAGGCUUUGAAGUGUGGACGCCAGUCUGCAUGGAGCCGACCUUGAAAUACCACCCUUUAAUGUUUGAUGUUCUAACGUGGACCCGUAAUCCGGGUUGCGGACAGUGUCUGGUGGGUAGUUUGACUGGGGCGGUCUCCUCCUAAAGAGUAACGGAGGAGCACGAAGGUUGGCUAAUCCUGGUCGGACAUCAGGAGGUUAGUGCAAUGGCAUAAGCCAGCUUGACUGCGAGCGUGACGGCGCGAGCAGGUGCGAAAGCAGGUCAUAGUGAUCCGGUGGUUCUGAAUGGAAGGGCCAUCGCUCAACGGAUAAAAGGUACUCCGGGGAUAACAGGCUGAUACCGCCCAAGAGUUCAUAUCGACGGCGGUGUUUGGCACCUCGAUGUCGGCUCAUCACAUCCUGGGGCUGAAGUAGGUCCCAAGGGUAUGGCUGUUCGCCAUUUAAAGUGGUACGCGAGCUGGGUUUAGAACGUCGUGAGACAGUUCGGUCCCUAUCUGCCGUGGGCGCUGGAGAACUGAGGGGGGCUGCUCCUAGUACGAGAGGACCGGAGUGGACGCAUCACUGGUGUUCGGGUUGUCAUGCCAAUGGCACUGCCCGGUAGCUAAAUGCGGAAGAGAUAAGUGCUGAAAGCAUCUAAGCACGAAACUUGCCCCGA